UGAAACGGUCAGGGGCCUGGGCCCCUAGAAUGAGGAGGCCAUGUCUGGAGCUCCCUGUGUUAGGCCUGGGAGGGUUGAAGAAUAUGUAGGCUGAAGAUGGAAAUACACAACAAGGGUUGGGAAGGUUCAAAUGGGCUCGGAAUUUGGAGGGAGUGCUACAGUUGCCCAGAGGGAUAUUUCCAGCUGUGUCCAGAUGAGCGGGAAGAAGAAGGGACACACUCACUCUUGGAUGCUGAUGGUGUAGCGCUCACAAGAGAAUCUGCCUCCUGAGAACCAUGUCUCCCACUGCGUGGCCCAGUGUGGACCACCACAGCGGCAACAGAUUCUGGAA